AGAUUAGCAAAAAAGAAAAAUGAACGUUAACCACGGAGAUGAAACUGAAGUUAACCACGGAGAUGAAACUGAAGUUGACAAUGAUGGGGAAGAUGAAAGUAAGUUUUAAAUUUUGUAACUAUUUUAGUAGAACU
rnacentral:lncRNA from 1 species